rfam:Myotis davidii contig315563, whole genome shotgun sequence.
AUUCAGGUUUUUUUUAAAACCACACCCAUAUGUCCAUAGUAUCUAU